rnacentral:tRNA from 5 species
GCGGGAUUAGUACAAUGGUAGUACGCUAGCUUCCCAAGCUAGAGAAGCGGGUCCGAUUCCCGUAUCCCGCUCCA